rnacentral:rRNA from 1 species
CGCAAGCCUGACGGAGCCAGACCGCGUGGGGGAGGAAGGCCCUUGGGUUGUAAACCCCUUUUCUCAGGGAAGAAACCUGACGGUACCUGAGGAAAAAGCCUCGGCUAACUCCGUGCCAGCAGCCGCGGUAAUACGGAGGAGGCAAGCGUUAUCCGGAAUUACUGGGCGUAAAGCGUUCGUAGGGGGCUCGUCAAGUCUGCUGUCAAAGACCGAGGCUCAACCUCGGGUCGGCAGUGGAAACUGGAUAGCUAGAGGUCGGUAGGGGCAAAGGGAAUUCCCAGUGUAGCGGUGAAAUGCGUAGAGAUUGGGAAGAACACCGGUGGCGAAAGCGCUCUACUGGGUCGCACCUGACCCUCAGGGACGAAAGCCAGGGGAGCG